GGCGGCUGUCUGUCUGUAACUGACGCUGAGCUCGAAAGUAUGGGUAGCAAACAGGAUUAGAUACCUGGUAGUCCAUACGUAAACGAUGAAUGCUAAGUGUUGGAGGGUUUCCCCCUUCAGUGCUGCAGCUAACGCAUUAAGCAUUCCGCUGGGGAGUACGGCCGCAAGGCUGAAACUCAAAGGAAUUGACGGGGGCCCGCACAAGCGGUGGAGCAUGUGGUUUAAUUCGAAGCUACGCGAAGAACCUUACCAGGUCUUGACAUACUAUGCAAAUCUAAGAGAUUAGACGUUCCCUUCGGGGACAUGGAUACAGGUGGUGCAUGGUUGUCGUCAGCUCGUGUCGUGAGAUGUUGGGUUAAGUCCCGCAACGAGCGCAACCCUUAUUAUCAGUUGCCAGCAUUAAGUUGGGCACUCUGGUGAGACUGCCGGUGACAAACCGGAGGAAGGUGGGGAUGACGUCAAAUCAUCAUGCCCCUUAUGACCUGGGCUACACACGUGCUACAAUGGAUGGUACAACGAGUUGCGAACUCGCGAGAGUAAGCUAAUCUCUUAAAGCCAUUCUCAGUUCGGAUUGUAGGCUGCAACUCGCCUACAUGAAGUCGGAAUCGCUAGUAAUCGCGGAUCAGCAUGCCGCGGUGAAUACGUUCCCGGGCCUUGUACACACCGCCCGUCACACCAUGAGAGUUUGUAACACCCAAAGUCGGUGGGGUAACCUUUAGGAACCAGCCGCCUAAGGUGGGACAGAUGAUUAGGGUGAAGUCGUAACAAGGUAACCA
rnacentral:rRNA from 1 species